AUAACUAUUUCUGGCAUUUUGGCUAAAAUCAAGUGGAGUAUGCGAUCUUACCAGUUUAACAAAGGUAACCACAAGUGGUAUUGAUAAGCACAGUCCCUGUGCUUUCUAUGACACUUAGAAAGGCAUCAGGGGACAUCAA
ensembl:snRNA U2 U2 spliceosomal RNA